rnacentral:tRNA from 1 species
GCCUGGCUGGCUCAGUUGGAAGAGCAUGCGACUCUUGAUCUCAGGGUUGUGAGUUUGAGCCCCAUGUUAGGUG